rnacentral:lncRNA from 1 species
GCCUUUGAACUUAUUGCGCCACCUCUGCAUACUUCAGUCACAAAAUAUAAAAUUUACUUCAAAAUACACCCGUUUGGCUUAUCUCUCUAUCACGACCCAAAUUUUGAGCCAUGACCGACGCAUGGGCCCAAUGGACGUAGUCCACUAAGCCCAAGCAAGUCAUUAAUCUGACAUGUUCAUCAUUCCAUCAUAAACUGCUAAGUCAUAUAUCAUAACUUAGAAUCAAAAUAAAAUUAAGCAUUGCCACUUCAUACUAGCAUACCAAACAGGUGUAUAUACACUGUCUACACAUGUAUCUUAAUAAUUCACAUUAGGUUGGUCUAUACACAACAAAAGGAGACUCGAUGUCCAGCUGAGAGACUCGGACGAAUGUACAACUACUGAAUGCCGAGACACCUACCAAAAGAUGGAUACAAGUCCACGAGGACACCUCGUCCUAGUCACCGGUUGUCUCUUAAUCUGAAAACAUGAAGUCAAAAGCGGUGAGCAUAAACUCAGUGAGUGAACAAGAAGGGAACAAGCAUACUAUAAGGAAUGUUUAUCGAAAUCAUGAUGCACUCAUUUUCUCAAAACAAUGCAAUUUGUUCUAGUUCUAGUAGAACCCCUCAUGUAAACCCCUCAUGAGUAAAUCACUUAAAAGAUCUAUACUCAACUAUGGUACCAAAGAAUCGAAAAAUAUAGCAAAACCCACAAGUUAGCCAAAAUGGACAGAAAGUUUCUCGCUGCAGGGAACUUCAUUCUCAUUGUAGCGAGAACCAGGUCUGGUGAAGGCCCUCAAACUCGAGAGUUUCUCGCUGCAGCGAGAGUCAGAACAUCAAGGAAAAAGUCUCAUUUUCCUUUAAAACAAGUCAUCCUGCUAAAAUAACAAUAGCAACAUGUAACACGUGUAAACUCCCAAAUUUCAACAAAUCAAAUGCUCACAUAUUUGCAUUUACAACCAUAUACCAUAUAUGUAUAUAUAUAUAUCAAUCAUCAUAUACACCCUCCCAUCAUCAUCAUCUCAUAUGCAACGACUUAUUCGUACUCCCACUCGCAUAUAGUCGGGUCAGCAACGGCUUAUGUGCACUCCUACUCGCACAUAGCUGGGUUAGCAACGACUUAUGUGAACUCCUACUCGCACAUAGCCAGGUCAGCAACGGCUUAUGUGCACUCCUAUUCGCACAUAACCGGGUCAGCAACGGCUUAUGUGCACUCCUACUCGCACAUAGACAGGUCCACAUCAACAUGCAAAGAAGCAUCCAAUGCAUAUCAUGCAUUUUAUCAUAUUAUGAUAACACAUAAACCAUUGUAUAACACAUUUUCACAAUAUAAAAUCAUUUUACUAAAAGCUUGUUCCCAAGGUACAUUUUCUAAGCAAGUUGGAUAGAAUCUUUCAUAUUCCCCAAAACAAGUUUGAAAUGCAAGUCUACUCACCGGUAUUCAUUGAGCCUUUAGACGACUCUUAAUCUCCCUAAUGAUCCAAUUGGAGUGAUGGGGCUUUGUUAGCACCUACCAUCAAAUUAACAUUUCCAUAAUGUCAAUUUACAUAUUAUAAACCUUAAAAGCUAUCUUUUAGCUAGCUUUCAAUUGCCAUUUAAAUGGCCAUCCAUUUUCAAUUUCCUAUCACUCCAAAGUGAAUUAACAAUCUCAACUACAAAAUAUUCACAAAUCAAAUCUCUAGUCAUUCUCAACACUUAAAACCCAAUACUAGUUUACUACUCACCUUGAUAGCUUUGUAACUUUGAACUUCUUUCCAAAAGCUCUCAAGCUAUUAAUAAAGCUUCCUCUUUCUCUCUUUAAAACACCUAACUAGUGAGAGAUUAUGGAAACAAGAUUUUCAUCAUUUUCAAGGGUUUUAAAGUGAGAGAGUGGAAGAAUACAAGGGUUCUAGUCAAAAGGGCACCAAGGUAUGAAAAUUAGAACUAGAGAGAGAAAGUUAUGAAAGCUUCACAUCAAGCUUCCAUGGAGGAAUUGAAGAAACGUGAGAGGGAAGAGAACAAGAAGAAGAAGCUGUUAGAAAUCCCAAGAAGUUGCUAAAAGGAGAGGAUAUUUAUGGCCGAAGCUUAUCCACUCCCUUGGAAAUUACUAAAAUGCAUCUUCAUAAAUUAGCUUAAUCCUUGAAAUCCCACACUUUUUCUUCAAUUUUCCCACCUAGGGUUUGUGUUCUUUCCUUUCCUCUUCACUUCAUGCUUUGGCCAGCCAUAUGGGUGAGACUAAGAGAGUUUUAAAUAGAUUUUACAGGGAAAUUCUAGAAUAAUCCAAUCUUGACACAUGGCUUGUUUCCAUUGGUCCAUGCGUAAUACUUAUCCAUUAAGCAAUCUCUCUCCACCACAUAAAAUGUUUCAAUUAUCCACAAUGUAAAAUGUUAAUGGCUGAAAUCCAUGGGCAUGACAAGUGUCAGGUGGUGUAAAAUUCCAAAAAUUUCCAUUUUGUCCUCGAGUGAUAAAAUUACCAUUUUGCCCCUAGAACAUGAAAAUCAUCAAAAUUUUUAUUUCCUUGUCAUUUCACCCAUAUUUUCAUCAUUCAUUUAUGCUUUAGGCCUACUUAAGCUAUAAUAUUGUUUAAAACUUACUUUUAUGGGCUUAUUGAGAAAAUGACAAAAUUACCCCUGAUUAGGGAUAUCGCGUAUAUUUCUAUCUAUGAGUCUAUAAAGGUCAAGGUCUCACAUUGUCCCCCACUUAAAGAAUUUAGGUCCCCGAAUUUAAAUUCAACUAUGAGGUGACUUACCUCUAUGCAACAAGAAGGUGGGGAUACUUUGUCCGCAUAUCCUCAUCGGCCUCCCAUGUUACCUCUUCACUCCAUCUGUGCCUUUGGUAAACAUUUUUCCUUUUCUUCCCUAAGGACCCUCUAAGGCCUUAGCUACAAACUCAUCUUUACUUUGUGUUUCUUUAAUCCUGUCCAUUAAAAUAUGCCUCACUCUAAAAUAUGCUAGCAAUGCAUUUGUCUCAGCAACUUCCCAAUGCACACCUAUGUCUCCCAAGCUAUGGAUCUCCCUAACCAAGGAUCUCCUAUCUGUAGCAAUAUGUGCCAGACUCCCCAUGGUGAGAUGCUAGGUCAGAUAAAGCCUUUAUCGAGCAAAUCUUCUAAUUGAUCCUUAAGCUCUUUAAGCUCUGCAAGUGCCAUUCUAUAUGGGGGUAUGGAUAUAGGUCUAGUGUCGGGAAUCAAAUCUAUGCAAAAUUCAAUCUCCCGCUUGGGAGGUAAACUUGGCAAUUCCUCGGGAAAUACAUCCAUGAACUCAUUCACCACCGACACUUGACUUACAUUUCCAACCUUCGCCUGAGUAUCCCUUACCACUGCCAAGUAACCUAUACAACCCUGUUGUAAUAACCUUCGGGUAGACAGGACCGAUAUCAAAUUGGUUCGAACAUUACUUUUAUCCCCUUGAAUACUAAAUGAUGGUUCAUCAGGGAAAUCAAAUCUAACCAAUUUAUAAUAACAGUCCACACUAGCAUUGUAGGGUGAUAACCAAUCCAUCCCCAAGAUCACAUCAAAGUCUAAAGUGUCUAACACCACUAGAUUCAUCAAAGUAUCUUUGUCUUGCUGCAAUACUAGCACUAGGCGAGUCACUCCCCUGCUGGGGUAAUCGUGAGUCCCUCUGUGGACCCUGACGGCUAGAAGAUGAACCACCACUGCUGAAAUCUCUACGGCCUUGAUAACCUUCUGUUUUGGCCCUUUUUGCUCUAUCCCUCGUAACUCUGCGCUCACUGGUCCUCAUUUUAAUCUGCUGAGCACAAUCUACCGUUGCAGAGUAGGUUUUAAAAUCUCGGGAUGCCAUAGCCCUAAAUAGUGGCUCUACUAGCCCAUCUACAAACCUCUGAAUCUUCAUCUCCUCAGUGGAAACUAGGUAAGGAGCAUACCGAGACAACUACGUGAACUUGAUGUCGUACUCUAACACCGUCAUACUCGAGGUCUAUACCAAAGUCUCAAACUCCCUAGCUUGUGCAUUACACUGAGUGGUAAGAAUCGAUCUAAAAAGGUUGCACUAAACUCACCCCAAGUCAAUGGUGCUGCAUCCGUCAGUCUGCCUCUACAUAGAGAACUAUACCACUCUUGCGCCACAUCCUCUAAUCGGAAGGCGGCUAGCUCGACUGAUCGAACACUAGAGCAUCUCAAAGCCUUACAUAUUUUCUCCAUCUUAUCUAAAAAGAUAUGGGGCUUCUCCGAUGCAUCGGACCCUGAAAAUGAUGAAGGCUUAAGCUUAAGAAAAUCAGGAAGAGAAAUCUCUAAGUGACCCCUCUCAACCUCAUGAUAUUGGUGGUCGACCUGUCCUUGGGAACUAGGGGAUUCUUGCACUGUAGGUCUCCCUUCUACUACCCUUUGUAUAUCCUCCAUACAGGUCACCAUCAUCUCUAUAACCCGAUUAACUCCCUGUAGGCCUGUCGCCAAAUCCUCAAUGGUAAUACCCCCAGCUGGGUGUCUAUCUACAUCACUUGAGGACUAUUCCUCCUCUCGCCUACUCAUAAGCGUAUCCACCCUCACCGGCCUAGUGGCCCUACCACGUCUACCUCGACCCCUUAGGGUGGAUGCUUGUGGCCUAUUUGCCAUCUCAGUAGGAGCAUCUUGCUCCCCCAUCCGUCUUGAGGUGGCUCGUGUCUUAGGCAGUAUUCUUACCAAAACAAGAGCAAACACCUGUUAUUAAACACAUUUUAUAAUCAUACUCAAGGCAAAAGGUGGUUUCUAAGAUAGAAAAUCUAUGCGGUCCCUUGGUCGUAAAAUGUGUCGCUGUUCACAGUUUACAACCAAAGUUCCCACAUAAAAACCCGACACUCCGCUGGACCAACAAAUGGAAAUCCUAUGACCUAGAAAAACCUAGCGCUCUGAUACCAACUUUGUCACGACCCAAAUUUCGGGCCAUGACCGGUGCAUGGGCCCAAUGGAUGUAGUCCACUAAGCCCAAUCAAGCCUAUUAAUCCGACAUGUUCAUCAUUCCAUCAUAAACUGCUAAGUCAUAUACCAUAACUUGGAAUCAAAAUAAUAUUAAGCAUUGCCAUUUCAUACUAGCAUACAAAACAGGUGUAUAUACACUGUCUACACAUGUAUCUUAAUAAUUCACAUUAGGUUCAUCUAUACACAACAAAAGGAGACUCGAUGUCUAGUUGAGAGACUCGGAAGAAUGUACAACUACUAAAUAUCGAGACACCUGCCAAAAGAUGGAUACAAGUCCACAAGGACACCUCGUUUUAGUUAUCGGCUAUCUCUUAAUCUGAAAACAUAAAGUUGAAAGCGAUGAGCAUAAACUCAAUGAGUGAACAAGAAGGGAACAAGCAUACCAUAAGGAAUGUUUAUCGAAAUCAUGAUGCACUUAUUUUCUCAAAACAAUGCAAUUUGUUCUAGUUUUUAGUAGAACCCCUCAUGUAAACCCCUCAUGAGUAAAUCACUUAAAAAAUCCAUACUUAACUAUGGUACCAAAGAAUUGAAAAAUAUAGCAAAACCCACAAGUUAGCCAAAAUGGACAGAAAGUUUCUCGCUGCAGCGAACUUCAUUCUCGUUGUAACGAGAACCAAGUCUGGUGAAGGCCCUCAAACCCGAGAGUUUCUCGCUACAGCGAGAGUCAAAACAUCAAGAAAAAAGUCUCAUUUUCCUUUAAAACAAACCAUCCUGCUAAAAUAACAAUAGCAACAUGUAACACAUGUAAACUCCUAAAUUUCAACAAAUCAAAUGCUCACAUAUUUGUAUUUACAACCAUAUACCAUAUUGUAUAUAUAUAUAUAUCCAUCAUCAUAUACACCCUCCCAUCAUCAUCAUCUCAUAUGCAACAGCUUAUGCGUACUCCCACUCGCAUAUAGCCGGGUCAACAAUGGCUUAUGUGCACUCCUACUCGCACAUAGUCAGGUCAGCAACGGCUUAUGUGCACUCCUACUAGCACAUAGCUGGGUUAGCAAUGGCUUAUGUGCAUUCCCACUCGCACAUAGCCGGGUCAGCAACGGCUUAUGUGCACUCCCACUGGCACAUAGUCGGGUCAGCAACGACUUAUGUGCACUCCUACUCGCACAUAGCCAGGUCCACAUCAACAUGCAAAGAAGCAUCCAAUGUGUAUCAUGCAUUUUAUCAUAUUGUGAUAACACAUAAACCAUUGUAUAGCACAUUUUCACAAUAUAAAAUCAUUUUACUAAAAGCUUGUUCCCAAGGUAUAUUUUCUAAGACAAGUUGGAUAGAAUCUUUCAUAUUCCCUAAAACAAGUUUGAAAUGCAAGUCCAUUCACCAGUAUUCGUUGAGCCUUUAGCCGACUUUUAAUCCCCCUAAUGAUCUAAUUGGGGUGAUGGGGCUUUGUUAGCACCUACCAUCAAAUUAACAUUUCCAUAAUGUCAAUUUACAUACUAUAAACCCUAAAAGCUAUCUUUUAGCUAGUUGUCAAUUACCAUUUAAAUGGCCAUCCAUUUUCACUUUCUUAUCACUCCAAAGUCAAUUAACAAUCUCAACUUCAAAAUAUUCACAAAUCAAAUCUCUAGUCAUUCUCAAUACUUAAAACCCAAUACUAGUUUACUACUCACCUUGAUAGCUUUGUAACUUUGAACUUCUUUCCAAAAGCUCUCAAGCUAUUAAUAAAGCUUCCUCUUUCUCUCUUUAAAACACCUAACUAGUGAGAGAUUAUGGAAACAAGAAUUUCAUCAUUUUCAAGGGUUUUAAAGUGAGAGAGUGGAAGAAUACAAGGGUUCUAGUCAAAAGGGCACCAAGGUAUGAAAAUUAGAACUAGAGAGAGAAAGUUAUGAAAGCUUCACAUCAAGCUUCCAUGGAGGAAUUGAAGAAACGUGAGAGGGAAGAGAACAAGAAGAAGAAGCUGUUAGAAAUCCCAAAAAGUUGCUAGAAGGAGAGGAUAUUUAUGGCCGAAGCUUAUCCACUCCCUUGGAAAUUACUAAAAUGCCCCUCCACAAAUUAACUUAAUCCUUGAAAUCCCACACUUUUUCUUCAAUUUUCC